rnacentral:rRNA from 1 species
UAAGGAAUAUUGGACAAUGGAGGCACCUCUGAUCCAGCCAUGCCGCGUGAAGGAAUAAGGCCCUAUGGGUUGUAAACUUCUUUUAGACGGGACAAAACCCCUUUACGUGUAAAGGGUUGAUGGUACUGUCAGAAUAAGCAUCGGCUAACUUCGUGCCAGCAGCCGCGGUAAUACGAAGGAUGCAAGCGUUAUCCGGAAUUAUUGGGUUUAAAGGGUGCGUAGGCGGACUAAUAAGUCAGUGGUGAAAGCCUGCAGCUUAACUGCAGAAUUGCCAUUGAUACUGUUAGUCUUGAGUACAGUUGAGGUAGGCGGAAUGUGUCAUGUAGCGGUGAAAUGCUUAGAUAUGACACAGAACACCGAUUGCGAAGGCAGCUUGCUAAGCUGUAACUGACGCUGAGGCACGAAAGCGUAGGGAGCAAACA